rnacentral:rRNA from 1 species
GAUGAACGCUGGCGGCGUGCCUAAUACAUGCAAGUCGAGCGAACAGACGAGGAGCUUGCUCCUCUGACGUUAGCGGCGGACGGGUGAGUAACACGUGGAUAACCUACCUAUAAGACUGGGAUAACUUCGGGAAACCGGAGCUAAUACCGGAUAAUAUAUUGAACCGCAUGGUGCAAUAGUGAAAGACGGUGUUGCGGUCACUUCUAGAUGGAUCCGCGCCGUAUUAGCUAGUUGGUAAGUUAACGGCUUACCAAGGCAAGGAUGCGUAUCCGAACUGAGAGGGUGAUCGCCGACACUGGAGCGGGGACACGGUCAAGAGUCCUACGGGACGCAGCAGUAGCGAAUCUGACGCAAUGGGCGGAAGCCUGACGGAGCAACGGCGCGUGAGUGAUGGAGGUGUUCGGAUCGUAAAACUCUGUUAUUAGGGAAGAACCAAUGUGUAAGUAACUAUGCACGGAUUGACGGUACUUAAUCAGAAAGCCCCGGCUAACUACGUG